GACGAACGCUGGCGGCGUGCUUAACACAUGCAAGUCGAACGGAAAGGCCCUGCUUUUGUGGGGUGCCCGAGUGGCGAACGGGCGAGUAACACGCGAGUAACCUGCCUGUGACUUUGGGAUAACUUCAGGAAACAGGGGACAAUACCGGCUAGAAGCUAUUGAUGCUCGGUGGGGGUUGGAAAGUUUCGGCGGUUGGGGCAGGAGUCGCGGCUUAUCAGCUUGUUGGUGGGGUAGUGGCGUACCAUGGCUUGGACGGGGAGCCGGCCUGGGAGGGUGACCCGCCACAGUGGUACUGAGAAGGGGCCCAGACUCCUACUGGAGGCAGGGGUGGGGAAUAUUGCACAAUAGGCCGAGGCGUGAUGCAGCAACGUCGCGUGCGGGAGGACGGCCAUUGGGGUGUAAACCGCUUUCUCCGGUGACGAAGAGUGAUUGACGGUAAUGGGUAAGGAAGCCCCGGCUAACUACGUG
rnacentral:rRNA from 1 species